rnacentral:rRNA from 1 species
AUGACCUCCAACGUGGACGACGUGCAAGAGCGAGUCUUGGCCGAGAUCCUCUCCCGGAACGCCGCAACGGAGUACCUCAGGGACUGCGGCGGCCCCAUCGACCGCGCCACCUUUCGGGCCAUGGUGCCGGUGGUGUCGUACGACGCUCUCAAGCCGUACAUCAAGCGCAUCGCCAACGGAGACAGGUCGCCCGUCAUGUCGACGCACCCCGUCUCCGACUUCCUCACCAGCUCCGGCAACUCCGGCGGCGAGCGCAAGCUGAUUCCCAGCACCGCGGAGGAGGGCCGCCGACGCCAGCUUCCCUUCGGCCUCCUUAAGGCAGUCAUGAACUUGCACUUCCCUGGGCUUGACAAGGGGAAGGGGCUCUACUUUCUCUUCGUCAAGUCGGAGACCAAGACGCCGGGCGGGCUGACGGCGUGGCCGAUGAUGACAAGCAUUUGCAAGAGCGAGCAGUUCAAGGACCCCUUGCGCGACCACACGAGCCCGAGGGCGGCCGUGCUCUGCGCGGACACGUCCCAGAGCAUGUACGCGCAGAUAGUAUGCGGCCUGUGCCAGCGCCACGACGUGCUCCGCGUCGGCGCCGCCUUCGCCUCCGGCCUGCUGCGCGUCAUCCGCUUCCUCCAGCUCAACUGGGAGCAGCUCGCCGCCGACAUCGAGGCCGGCACGCUCGCCCCGUGCGUGAGCGACGCGUCGGUGCGCGAGGCGGUCGCCGGCAUCCUCCGCCGCCCGGACCCCGAGCUUGCCCGCUUCGUCCGGGACGAGUGCCGCACGGGCGAAUGGGCCGGCAUCGUCCCGCGCAUCUGGCCCAACGCGAGGUACAUCGAUGCCAUCGUCACUAGUGUCAGCAAAUAA